rnacentral:sRNA from 1 species
UCUUUCAUAUCAACCACAGAUCUGUGUUCAGCGAUCCUGGCGCUCUCUCUCACGAGAGAUGUCUGCUGGUCGUAUUGCUGAACAUUUCGACCCCCAAUGGAGCCAUCUCGUCCGUUUAGGACAUUUUUCAUGAUGUCAAUCUUCCGGUCGACAGAUCUCAGAACAACCAGUCCCUGAGCCUGAGCUCCCUCCGGGUGAGCUCGGCCUGGGGGUCACUGGGGACGCCAUAUUCCACUUCCCUUUACUGACUGGCCGUUGGCUUGUGAAGUCAGGGAUAAACCAUGGCAUGCCUAUAUAC